GAUGAACGCUGGCGGCGUGCCUAAUACAUGCAAGUCGAGCGAACAGACGAGGAGCUUGCUCCUCUGACGUUAGCGGCGGACGGGUGAGUAACACGUGGAUAACCUACCUAUAAGACUGGGAUAACUUCGGGAAACCGGAGCUAAUACCGGAUAAUCUAUUGAACCGCAUGGUUCAAUAGUGAAAGACGGUUUUGCUGUCACUUCUAGAUGGAUCCGCGCCGGAUUAGCUAGUUGGUAAGGUAACGGCUUACCAAGGCAACGAUGCGUCGCCGACCUGAGAGGGUGGGCGGCCAGACUGGAAGGGAGACAGGGUCCAGAGUCCUACGGGAAGCAGCAGUAGGGAAUCGUGCGGAAUGGGCGAAAGACUGACGGAGCAACGCCGCGUGAGGGAGGAAGGUCUUCGGAUCGGAAAACUCUGUUAUUAGGGAAGAACACAUGUUUAAGUAACUAGGCACGUCUGGAAGGGUACUGAUCAGAAAGCCACGGCUAACUUCGUG
rnacentral:rRNA from 1 species